rnacentral:rRNA from 1 species
GGCUAUACAUGCAGUCGAGCGGACAGAUGGGAGCUUGCUCCCUGAUGUUAGCGGCGGACGGGUGAGUAACACGUGGGUAACCUGCCUGUAAGACUGGGAUAACUCCGGGAAACCGGGGCUAAUACCGGAUGGUUGUUUGAACCGCAUGGUUCAGACAUAAAAGGUGGCUUCGGCUACCACUUACAGAUGGACCCGCGGCGCAUUAGCUAGUUGGUGAGGUAACGGCUCACCAAGGCGACGAUGCGUAGCCGACCUGAGAGGGUGAUCGGCCACACUGGGACUGAGACACGGCCCAGACUCCUACGGGAGGCAGCAGUAGGGAAUCUUCCGCAAUGGACGAAAGUCUGACGGAGCAACGCCGCGUGAGUGAUGAAGGUUUUCGGAUCGUAAAGCUCUGUUGUUAGGGAAGAACAAGUGCCGUUCAAAUAGGGCGGCACCUUGACGGUACCUAACCAGAAAGCCACGGCUAACUACGUGCCAGCAGCCGCGGUAAUACGUAGGUGGCAAGCGUUGUCCGGAAUUAUUGGGCGUAAAGGGCUCGCAGGCGGUUUCUUAAGUCUGAUGUGAAAGCCCCCGGCUCAACCGGGGAGGGUCAUUGGAAACUGGGGAACUUGAGUGCAGAAGAGGAGAGUGGAAUUCCACGUGUAGCGGUGAAAUGCGUAGAGAUGUGGAGGAACACCAGUGGCGAAGGCGACUCUCUGGUCUGUAACUGACGCUGAGGAGCGAAAGCGUGGGGAGCGAACAGGAUUAGAUACCCUGGUAGUCCACGCCGUAAACGAUGAGUGCUAAGUGUUAGGGGGUUUCCGCCCCUUAGUGCUGCAGCUAACGCAUUAAGCACUCCGCCUGGGGAGUACGGUCGCAAGACUGAGACUCAAAGGAAUUGACGGGGGCCCGCACAAGCGGUGGAGCAUGUGGGUUAAUUCGAAGGCACCGCGAAGAACCUUACCAGGUCUUGACAUCCUCUGACAAUCCUAAGAGAUAGGAAGGCCCCCUCCGGGGGAGA